rnacentral:lncRNA from 1 species
AAGAAGAAGAAGAAGAAGAAGAAGAAGAGCUUGAGGUUUUUCAUCAAUUUUUCUACGUUUGGGAUUCAAAUAAUUUUAAGGCAAGUAUUCUAACCCCAUACUACAGUAGCCUUAAUCUAUGUUUCCAUUUUUAUUCUGCAAAAUUUGAUAGAUUCAACUGAGAACUAGACCUUCUUUCGUUUUGAUACAAAGCCAUGAAUCUGUAAUUUUUCGGUAAUCUGACCUCUAUGCAAUAUUAUGAUCAUAACAUUUUGUAAUAAACUCCGAUUUAGACAAAACCUAUUCCAUUUGAAAGCAAACAAAAAAAUAUUUAUUUUUAUACUAAGAUCGAAUGAUUUGGAGUUUAAAUGCCUACUAAGACUUCUAUUUAAAUUAACCCUACAGAUUCUGCAAAACAAGGAUAGAAAUUUCUGACCUCUUGUUGCUUAAUUGCUUAUAACUUUCUGCUGUGAACUCAGAUUCAUACAAAGUAUGAUUUAUUCGAAGUUAGACUCAAAAUGCAUUCUGUAUAUACCUGAUUUGAAAUUUUUAGAGUACAAUUGCUAACUGAAACAUCUACUUUCAUCGACCCUAUAGAUUCAGUAAAAUAGAGCUAAUAUUUUUAGACCUUUAGCUACCUAAUUAUCUAUAACUCCCUGUUGUAAAUUCCAAUUCUUGUAAAACUUAAUUUAACUAAAACUAGAUUAACAAAGCUUUCUAAUGACACCUAUUUUGUAUAAAUUGGAGCAUAAUUGGUUAUCCAAAUAGUUCAUACAAUGUUCCUAUCAAAUUCUGCUAGAAUCGAGCUUUGGUCGAUUCCGGCUUUUCUUGUUUCUUCUCUUUGGAAAUCGAUUUCGGCAAAAACUCUUACUUCAGUUAAGCUUUACAUUAUUAUCUUAAAUUUAUGUAUACUUUUGUCCUUUAUUUAUUUGUACAUAUGCAGCUAUCAUCUAAAGUUCAUGUUUGCAUCGUAAUGAUUCGGCACAUGCAUCCCAUUGUUCCGCAUUUGCUUUCGAUAUUUGCCUCUUCCAGUUUCAUUUCUUUUCAUAUUGAAUUCAUCUAACUUUCUUAUUUCAAUUGAGCUAUAUGUGAUUUCUUGAAAUCCUUGUAUACUCGUGCUUUUGUUUCUUUUUAAAUCUGAAUACAUUUGUGAAAGAUUAUGUUUGUAUCGUAUUGACUCGAAAGGCAUAUGUAUAUUUCGUUGUUCCGCAUGUGCUUCUGAUAUAUGCUAAUUUCAUUAUUCAUGCUAUCCCUUUGUACUCUAGUGUUUGUGGGAUAAAUGUGAACCUUUGCUAGAAAUGGUAAAGGGAGUUAUGCUUAGAGCCUGCGAUUCUCUGCCGGCCCCCUAUGACUUCACUCAGACGUGGGUGGAUGGAGCUCCCAGACGUGGGAGACUUAUGUUUGGUGGUCAUUCAAAAAUGGAUGGACCAUAUUAUGUUAUGAUCCUACUUCACCUUCUAUGUGUUUGAUAUGACAUCCAAAGCUUUAGCUAUGUUUCUAUGCAUGCUUUGGAUAAGAAUGAAAUGAAUGCAACUUCAUGUGACAUUUGAGCUUCUAUUCAUGUUUUAUUUUUUGAUAUGUUUCCGAAAUGUUAUAAAUCUUUGUUAUACCUUGAAAUUACUAUAUGUCAUAGAUAUUCUCCUUAUGUCAAUGAUAUGCUCCAAUUACCUUUCCUCGAUUAUAUGAACAAAACAUGCUUCAAACGAAAUGACAUCGUAAUUCUGCAUUCAAACAACACAUGCUUCUAUUUCAUCUUGUAUCUCUGCUUUGUAUUUUUGAUAUUUUAUUUGUUUGAAAAAAAAACUGUCCUAUUUGCUAUGGAUAUGUUAGUCGCUUGCUGAGCUUUAUAUGCUUACCCCGUUGAUAUAUAAAUUUUUCAGGAUAGCUUAUCUCUCGCUAAAAUAUGUAGUUUGGGUUGAGGCAGUGGGAAGCUAGAAGAUUUUGGGGCAAAUCUUUUGUACUUGAUAUGUUGAUGUUAUAUAAGUUCCUUUUGUGUGCAUCAACGACAAAUCUAGAUUGAUGUAUCCUAUAAAUAUUUGAAAAGUACCUCUAAUGUUUGGAUUUUGGGAAUGUUAAGUUAAAAUUAUGUAAUAAAUAAUAUGAAUAUUUGGUAUAUGUUGGUUUUGUAAUUGUAUAGAUUCUCACAACUAUGGAUGUAUGAUGUGGUUAUGGUUUAGUUAUAUUGCCUUUGGAUUUUAAGAAUCAUCUAGUGACAUGAUGUAUGAUUACAAACUGCACAAGUUUUAUGAAUUGUGGAUUGUAGAGGUGAUUGACUUGAAUGUUUUUCUUAGUGACCUCAAAUGUGUGAUUGGAUCUUGGAUUGUUUGUUGAAUUAUAAUAUUAUCAAUUUUGAGUUAGGUUCAUACCUCCUGAAUGAAAAUUAAAUUCGGGGGGCGUGACACUAUUGAGUAUCGAUAGAAGAUUAUUUGCUCUCUAUGUCAUAAAAGGAAUAUCCAUAUGUUUUUUCUCAAACAAAUCCUUAGCUAGGGUCAUUCGGAUUAAGAGAAAAAGAGUUCUCUGGGAAAAUUCGAUUAGAGUGAGACUCGAGUAGAAACCGUAUGGGUCUGACAACACUAUGUUUGGUAUUUCGAUCUUUGAGAUAUUAGAUGGAUGAGGGACUAUAUAUAUACGAUAACUGAGGACAAACAUGUCCAAUGAAUUGAAGUCCCCUGUAUCAUUUAGGGAUUACGACGUAGUGGCCUAGUACGUCCACAAUCGAUGAGUCACUAAGCUAGAAAGACUUUUGAUAAGUAUGACUUACAACCAACUCAAUAUUAGGCUUAGAGGGUCACACACAUAUGACAGACAUUGCGAUGAGUAAAGGUUCGGAUAUAAGAUAUCUGCCAGAGCCCCUAUCUUACUGGAUACCCAAUAAGCCCAAGAAUUAUUGGAUCAUAUGGAUGAGAUUCAAUAAGAACCAAUGAGAGAUUGUUGGAUAAAGAUCCACUAAUCUAAGAGGCUUGGGUAGUUGGAUGGAGAUCCAAUACCUAAUAGGGCAUGAUCCAUUAGUGUUAAAUUAACAUGGGACAUUUAUAAAUAGGAGGAAACCAAUGGUUUAUAGGCUAGAGCCUUUUUUGUUGUUAUCCCCUAUUCUCCUCCUCUUCUCCUCCUUAGAUAGCAGGCCUGGAGAUUCAAGGAGCAUCGUCACAGCCUUGCUGUGUGGAUCACCACUAGAGAGGAGGACAUUUGACCUCCUUCACCCUCUCCUAGAGAUCUGUAGGGAUUCAAGGAUAUACAAUUCCCCUAAGUAACACAAUCUUUAAUAUACAUAAUUUUCUAUUUUGUAGAUUUUGCACAUCAAUCUUCACACGAUGCCGAACAUAUUUUUAGGAAAUUAGGGAUUUUGUUUUAUGUUCUUCUAUUGUGCAUGUGAUGUUGCCCCCAAGAUUUUCCUAUAUUAUCUUCAUCCGUUGUUGGGAGGAAUCCAUCCCGUGGAAUAUGCCUCUCCAUCCAUCGUUGGGAGAGUGCACCAUCGAGUGGAUGUACAUCUUUAUUAUCUAGUUAUUAUACAUAUAUUGCAUGUGGCUGAUGUUGGAAAAUCUAGGGCGACAUCAUAUUUACAGUGGAAGAACAGAAAAAUAAAAUCUCAUAAUUUCCCCAAAAAAGAAGGUUUCAUCGUCGUGCAAAUGUUGGUGCACAAAAACCUGUGAAAUCGAGAAACUACACGUAAGAGAAUUACCUAAGAAGAUUAUAUAUCUUUAAAAACCUGUAGAUUUGUGAGAUUGGAUAAAGGAGAUCAACUGUCCUACUCUCUAGUGGUGGAUGAGGCUACGAAGAUGCUCCUCAAAUCAUUGCCCAAAAUUUUUCCUCUUGCGCACCACGCAAUUAAGAAGGGGCUACCCCUUCUUAUUGUCCAAACGCCCCAAAUAGAGGCUGUAGUAUAAGGAGGAGAGGGACAGAGGAGAAUAGAAGGAGGCAACAAAAAAAAACCUCUAGCCUAUGAGUCUUUUGUUCCCUCCUAUUUAUAGAGCCCUCCCUUGUCAACUUAACCGUAAUGGAUCCUACCAUAUUGGGUAUUGGAUCUCCAUCCAACUACCCAAGCCUCUUAGAUUAGUGGGUCUCUACCUAAUAAUCUCUUGUUAGCUCUUACUGGAUCUCAUCCAUAUGAUCUAAUAAUUCAGGGGCUUAUUGGAUAUUCAAUAAGAUAGGGGCUCCAGCGAAUAUCUCAUAUCCGAGCCUCUACUUGUCGCAACGCCUACCAUAUAUGUGUAACCCUCUAGGUCCAAUAUCAAGUUGGUUAUGAGUAUACCUAUCAGAAUUCCUUCUGGCUUAGAAAAUUAUUACUUCCAUAAUAAUUCACUUGACUCAUCGACUAUGAACGUAUUAGGUCACUACGCUGCAAUCCCUAGACAAUACAAGGGAAUCCAAUCCUUUGGACCUAUCUAUCCUCAAUUACCAUGUACCUAUAGUCCCUCAUCCAUCUAAUAUCUCAGAGACCAUAUACCGGGCAUAGUGUUGUCAUGCCCAUAUAGUUUCUACAUAAGUCUCACUCUAAUCGGAUUCUCUUGGAGAACUAUUUCUCUCUCAAUCUGAAUGACUUUAGUUAGAGAUUUGUCAACACAUGGGAUAUUUUUCUCAUGACACUGAGAAGAAAUGAUCAUCUAUUGAUACUCAAUAGCCAUCGUAAGAUUAGCUACCACUCCCGAUGACCGAUUGUGCUGGAUCUGGAACUUCUAUAUCUAUAAGUCUAGUAUCAAAGAGUGGAAUACUAAUAUAGGACAUCCUUGGUAUCUCAAGUCUAAGGACCAGAUACACCACUAGGAUGACAGAAUUGUUAUUUGACAAUAAGGCAUCAUCAACCAUCUAACAUUCUGUAAGCGGAUCAAUCAAUGAACUCAUUCUCCAAUGAGCACCUGCAUUAUAUCCCUAGUGUCCCCACACGAGCAGCUAUGAGACUAACUGUAUCCAUCAUAUGGAUGGGUAUAUAGCACACCAGUUUGUCCGGUUAUCUCAAUAUUCCUCUCGAAUAACGUAUGACCGAGAUUAUUUAGGAUUAGUGUUUAAAGGCGAAUUGGUCUCAUUAUCAUGAUCUCAUCACGAUCCAAUUCUCAUUGCACAAAUCCAUGGACAUCACAAUAUAUUCAUGCAAUAUGUAAUAUAAAAUGAUAAAAUAUUAAAUAAUAAUAAUAAGCAAAAAAGACUACAUGUUAAGUCACACGUGCCAUCACUCAUGUGAUUGGCUUAUAGGGCACCUAUGACUAGUAGUUGAUACAUGAUUUUGUUUAUUAUGUAAAAAAUUAUUAUUAUUUUUUUAAUGCAUAAGUUUUAUGAUGAAUCGAUAUAUUAUCAUUUCUUAUUAAAUUAUUAAUAUUUAUUUAUAUUACAUAAAUAUUGAAGAUUAUUUUUAUCAUUUUUUCAAGGUUCCUACUAGCAUGUGUGGUUGCUGAUAUGUUUUCAUCAUAUAUUUAUUUUUAAAGUAGUCUACUACUUUAUGAUAGAUCUAAAGCUUGGGUGGAAGAGACUUGUGACCCUACCAAGAAAAUGUCAUCCUUUUUUUAGUUAAUAGAAUAUUUACUAUUGUAAAGAUAAAGAUUUGAAUUCAAGAAUAAAGGAAAGAAAAAAAGGGGAGAGAGUUUAUUAUGUAAAUUAUGGAUAAUAAAAUAUUAAUUUAUUAUUCUUUUUAUAAAUUCGGAUGUGACAUUUUCAACCUGAAAACCCACUUGUUCUUCAAGGCCUUCAUUUCCUUUGGUAGUUGCACCAAAUCAUAUGUAUGAUUCUUUUGCAGAGCAUCUAUCUCUUCCUGCAUAGCUACUAACCACUUCUUUUUCUGCUCAAUUUCAACUGCUUCCUGAUAACUCUCUAAUUCACCUACAUUAGUAAGGAUCACAUACUCAUCUAUAGAGUAUCUUUUGGAAGGUUGAUAUUGUCUAGAAGAUCUUCUCAACUGAGGUUUUGUAUAAAGUUACUUGUUAGAACUCUAGCUAGGAGAGUCCUAAUUAAGAGGGGCAUUCAUGUAAAACCUACCUAGCCGACCCCUAUUAAAGAGGUGAAAAGGUCGGCUAGUGUUAGGAGGUUGUUUCUUAGAGAAGCAUUAGGAGUUGUAAAGGAAUAGGAGUCUUGAGUAUGAGUCCUAUUAGGAGUUGGUUAGAAGGAGUCUUGAGUAGGAGUCCUAUUAGGAGUUAGGGUUUAGAAGCCCUAUAAAUAGCCAUAUAUUCAUCAUGUUUUUUCAAGUAAUAAAUGAAUCUUUUCUUCAGCCUUUGAGCAGCAACUUGGAGGAAGGAACCCCUAUAGAGUUCCAAGGAGGUCGAUCCCCUAAAGAGAUUAAGCCCAAGCUUAGAAUCUACAAGGGUUUUAACACGGUAUCAGAGCUACGUUCUUGGCAUCUCGCUGCCCUUCUAUAGCCAUUAAUUAGUCCUCCACAGCCACCCAAAGCAAUUCCCACAAUUGCUUAAAAGAUCGUCGCUGAAUUCCAUCAUCAUCUCCAUCAUCGCGGAUCAUCCUUUAAUAUUAUCGUAAAUUGCAAUAGGUUCUGGUUUCCUACCUUAUUGCUGCUACAAUUUAGUUAUCCUUAUUCAAAAAUCUAGCUAUACAUCAGCCCUCCAUAUCCACCCAAAGCAAUUCUCACAAUUGCUUAAAAGAUCAUCGUCAAAUUCCGCCGUCAUCUCCACCACCGCGGAUCAUCCUUUGAUCUCCCCGUGAAUUGCAACAAGUUCUGGUUUCCUAACUUACUACUACUAUAAUUUAGUUAUAUUUAUUAAAAAAUCUAAAAAAAUUUAUUCCUAUAUUGCUGUAUAAACUUUUCGUCGUAAAGUUUUUAUCUCUACGAUGAAAGAUACACUGCAGAAUUCCAACCGCAUAGCACAGUCUAUUUGAUCUUGCUACUGUAUUUAUUCUGUCCAAAUCUCUAUGAAAUUUUUACGAUAGCUUUGACACUUCCUAACAGUAGAUUUUCCUUUGGUUUUGUUAAAAAAUUCUCAAUAUAAACUACUGAUCUUUUACGUUCAAACUGCUAUACUUGAAAAUCUACACUACAGAAUUCCAACCGCAUAGCACAGUUUGUUUGAUCUUGCUAUUGCAUUUUUUCUGUCCAAAUCUCAAUAAUUUUUUUAUGACAACCUUCACACUUCCUAGCAGUAGAUUUUCCUUUAGUUUUGUUAAAAAAUUCUCAAUAUAAACUACUAAUCUUUUACAUCCAAUCUACUACACUUUAAAUGUAAAAAUCUGCUGCAGUACCUUUUCGUGAUCCUCAAUUCUUCCGAACCUUCUACCACCCAUGCCAUUAACCCAUCGACAAAAAAAAGACACAGACAUCUCUGAUAUAUAGGCAUAUGCUAUGGCUUCUCAAGAUCCAAUUGAUGCCAAAUUUGAAGGAUUGGAAUCUCGGAUUAUAUCGCGGCUUGAAUCGCGCUUGGAGGAUAAAUUGCGUUCUUUGUUUGCAGAAUUCAGAAUUGGACAACCACCGAGUCCAACCAAAUUUCAAUGACGAGAGAGUUUAGAGAGGCCUCUAGAGAAGGAGGGACAGCCCUUAGACAUACUGCAGCCACGCAUGAGGGUGGACUUCCCGCGAUGGGAAGGAGACCCAACAGGGUGGAUUUCGAGCGUCGAACGUUUCUUUCGCUACUACCGAACUUUGAAUGAUGCUAUGGUGGAAAUUGCUAUCAUCCACCUUGAAGGAGAUGCUAUUCAAUGGUAUAAUUGCUAGAAUACAAUCAUGUGGCUCCGACAUGAAAUCAAUUUAAGAACGCACUAUUGAAUCAUUUUGGACCUACGGAGUAUGCAAAUAUCAAUGGCCAACUCGCAAAAAUUUGACAAACCUCUACAAUUCAAGAGUACCAAACUAGGUUUGUAAAGCUAUCCUACCUUGCUCAUGAUUGGACUAACCAUCAAUUAUUAGGAACAUUCAUUGAAGGACUCAAUCCAGAGAUAAAAGAGGAGGUUAAGGCGUGACGGCCCCAUACCAUGAUAGUUGCGAUUUCUUUCACCCGAAUACAAGAUGAACGACUCAACCAAGAUGCUUGGAGGAUGACAACCUCUCCUAGGCCUGUGGCAUAUAAACCUCCUUCUACUCUCAGUCAUCCUUUGCUGCCAAAAAAUUUGACAAGAGAAGAACUACGCGACUGAUCAACAAAAGGUCUUUGUUGGUAUUGCGACGAGCCAAGGAACCACGAUCAUCGCUGCAAAAGGAGCUGCCUCCUACUGAUUGAACCACUUGAAGAUAUGGAGGAGGAGAUCUAGGAGCAUGAGGAAGAAGUCACGGAUAAAAAACAACAGCUGGUUGAUAUUACAAUGCAUGCUCUUGUCGGUUACGCGAACUCGCAAACGAUGAAAGUGAGAGAACUUUUGAAGCAACAACCUAUCACCAUUCUUAUUGACACUGGAAGCACUAAUAAUUUUAUAAACAGCAAGGUUGCUGUCCAGAUGGCUUUACCUAUCGAGAAUUGCAGCAAGUUUGACAUUAAGGUCACCGACGGACGAAUUUUGAAGUGUGAUCAUAUGUGUCCGCGGGUGAAACUAUUGCUGUAGGACCAAGAGAUACUUGCGGAUUUCUUCCUCCUCCCUCUUGAUAAUUAUGAGGUUGUACUUAGCAUUGAAUGGCUAAUGACAUUAGGUGAUGUUUCCUAAAAUUUUGUGAAACUAAUUAUGAAAUUUUACAGUAAGGGGAUGAUUUGCACACAAUGAAUGGAGAAGGUUUUGCACAAAGCAUGCAGCGGCUUUUUGGAACAACUUAAAUAGUAAACUAAGGGAGAGCUAAUAGAAUUUGAAGAUCCAAACCUACUUCCUUUGCUUGCUGAAUUUUCAGAUAUAUUUGACGAACUGCACAACCUACCUCCUACCCGUCGGCAUGAUCAUUGUAUACCGAUUCUUCAAGGCAAACCUCCAGCAAAUACUUGACCAUAUCGGUAUCCACAUCUCUAAAAGGAUGAAAUAGAAAGGAUUGUAAAAGAGAUGCUUGAAACAGGAAUUAUUCGGCCAAGUUGCAGCCCCUACUCUUCACCGAUACUUCUCGUACGAAAGAAGGAUGAAAAAUGAAAAAUGUACGUUGAUUACCGAGCUCUCAAUGGCAUAACCGUCAAGGACAAAUACCCUAUUCUAGUAAUAGAUGAAUUGAUUGAUGAAUUAAAUGGAGCAUGAGUCUUCCCAAAGUUGGACCUUUGAUCCGGGUAUCAUCAAAUAUGAGUGUGCGAAGAAGACAUACCGAAAACUGCCUUUCGAACACACAACGACCACUAUGAAUUUUUGUUAAUGGCCUUUGGUCUCACCAAUGCUCCCUCCACCUUCCAAAGCCUUAUGAAUGAUAUUUUUUGAAAUUAUUUUUGUAAGUUUGUGCUGGUUUUCUUCAACGAUAUCUUUAUUUACAGCCCUUCUUUUGAAAGUUAUUUUCAGCACUUACAAUUUGUUUUGACGAUUUUACGAGAAUAUAUUCUUUUUGUCAAAAAAACAAAGUGCAGUGUUCUUCAACGGAAGGUAAAAUAUCUUGGGCAUAUCAUAUCAGAGGAAGGUGUGGCGAUAGACCCUUCCAAAAUUGAAGUAAUGCAGAACUAGCCGACCCCGAGGAACAUAAAAUCGCUACGCAACUUUCUCGAUUUAACAGGUGCACCCCUUACUUUUUUGCUGAAAAAAGAUAUUUUCCAAUGGUCGAACAAAGCCACCACCACCUUCGACAAACUUAAAGCCGCAAUGAAGACAACACCCAUACUAAUGCUACCCGACUUUGGCAAGACUUUUGUUAUUGAAGUCGAUGCCCCCGGAGUCAAAAUUGGUAUUGUACUAAUGCAAGAUGGUUGCCCCUAGCUUAUACUAGUAAGGCAUUAUCUUCUUCCCAGCACAAGAUGACUAUUUAUGAUAAGGAGAUGCUCAUGAUUAUGCAUGUAGUGGCCAAGUGGAGACCGUACUUGAUCGGAUGAUGAUUUCAAAUCAAGGCUGACCAUAAAAGCCUAAAAUAUUUCUUGAAGCAGAAGAUAUCUUCUCCCAAGUAGCAAAAAUGGGUAACAAAGCUUCUUGGAUAUGAUUAUGAAAUAACUUACAAAAAGGGGAAAGAGAAUGUUGUUGCAGAUACGCUUUCGCGGUUACCCGAGCAAGCUAAAUUAUUGGUUGUUUCACUUUCGACCAGCGACUUCCUUGAUGAUACUAAGUGGGGAUGACAUGAAGAUCUGGAGACUAGUAAGAUUAUAAAAAAAAUUGGAGGAAGCACCAAGCUCCGUGGCUCAUUACAGUUGGGACUCAAAAGAAUUACACUAUUAUGGACGCAUUGUGCUUAUGCCAAAUUCUACUUACAUCUUCAUGAGUAGAUUUUAGACAGAGUUAUUCCAGAUGCAGGGCACUAAAUUGAAAAGGAGUAUGGCAUAUCACCCAUAAAUCGAUGGCUAGACGGGAGUGGUGAACAGGUGCUUGGAGAUAUACCUCAGAUACUUCACUAGUGACCAGUUAAAAGAGUGGACAAAGUGGCUUCUCUGGGCAGAAUGGUGAUAUAAUAUAACUUAUCAUUCAUCCAUAAAAUAUACUCCCUAUAAGGCUUUGUAUAGCCAACCUCCCCCUGUGAUUCCAAAAUAUAUGUUGGGUGCCUCUAAAGUGGAACAAGUAGAUAGGGAACUAUAAGACAGAGACAAAAUGCUAAAGUUGCUAAAAGAUAAUUUCACUGCAACUCAAGUAAGGAUGAAACAACAAUAUGAUCAACAAAAAAAUUUCAGUAGGAGAUUGGGUCUUCCUACGGCUCUAGCCAUAUAAGCAAACAUCAAUCCAGAUCAGAGCAUCUAUGAAGCUUUCACCUCGGUUCUAUGGACCCUACCAAAUUUUGGAGAACAUCAAAGUUGUAGCAUACAAAUUGGACUUACCCGCCAGUUAUUGAAUCUAUCCAGUCUUCCAUGUGUCGUGUUUAAAGCUGAAGCUGGGACAAAACGAGACAACCCAAAGCCAUCCACCAAAUAUGACUAUCCAAGGAGAACUCCAAACCCAACCAAGUGCCAUUAUUGAUCAACAGAUCAUGACUCGACGACGACGACCCACUACUAAAGUGCUAAUAUAGUGAGCGAACUUACUAGUAGAAUGUGCCACUUGGGAGAACUACGACGACUUGAAGAUCAAAUUCCUAAAAUUCAUGGAUCAUCAGCCUCAAGGACAAGGCUGAUUUGAAGAGGACGACGGAUCUAUUAAGACUCUAGCUAAGAGAGUCCUAAUUGAAAGGGACAUUCAUGUAAAACAUACCUAGCUAACCCCUAUUAAAGAGGUGAAGAGGCUGACUAGGGUUAGGAGGUUGUUUCGUAGAGAAGCAUUAAGAGUUGUAAAGGAAUAGAAGUCUUGAGUAGGAGUCCUAUUAGGAGUUGGGGUUUAGAAGCCCUAUAAAUAGCCAUGUAUUUAUCCUCUUUUCUCAAGCAAUAGAUGAAUCUUUUCUAUAGCCUUUGAGUAGCAACUUAGAGGAAGGAACCCCUAUAGAGUUCCAAGGAGGUUGAUCCCUUAAAGAGAUCAACCCCAAGCUUAGAAUCUGCAAGGGUUCUAACAUUGCUCCCCAACUUCUUCUUGCUUAACAUGUCCAACAAGUAGAUCAAUAUCAGACUCUACACAGUCUUUCUACAUAUCUUCCCCAUCACCUUAAUAUAUUGGAGGAAUAACUGGGUCACAAUUUGCUAAUCCUUCUAUAGAAGUCUUGGCUGAUGCCUUCUUCUUCAAAUCCUCAAAUGUUUGAUCCUUAAAGAAGACCACAUGUCGGCUUCUAAACACCUUUUGCUUUUUUGGAUCCCAAAGCUUGUAACCAAAUUGAUCAUGUGAGUAGCCAAGAAAAAUAUAUUCUUUUGUCUUACCAUCUAGUUUGGACCUCUCAUUGUUUGGAAUAUAUGCAAAUGUACAACAACCAAACACUCUCAAAUGCCUAUAGAAAAUAUCUUUCUCUGACCAUACAUGCUCUACAACAUCACCAUCUAGGGUUAUACAAUGUAAUAAGUUAAUCACAUCAACUAUUGUUCUCAAAACCUCAUCCUAAAACUUUUUGAGUAGCUUGGCCUAUGAAAGCAUAUAUUUGAUCUUUUCCAUGAUCUUGUGCAUUAUGUUGAGGUGUACUAGGAACUGUCAUCUCAUGUUGGAUGUCAUGUGACCUGCAAUAAUCAUUAAACAAUCAUGUGGAUUCACCAACAUUAUAUGAUCUUACGUAUUUCAAUUAUCUUUCUGUCUCCCUUUCAACUCUAGCAUGAAACUCUUUGAAGACAUUAAUAACAUGAUCUUUGGUCUUCAUAGCAUAAGCUCAAACUUUUUUAGAAAAUUCAUCUAUAAAAGUGACAAAAUAAAGUGCACCAUUGAUGUCAUGAACAUUAAUAGAUCCACUGGGAGUUUUUGUCCCUAAAAGACCAUAUACAUUUGUAUAAAUACGGUCUAGGACAUAUAUUUUUCUAGAUAAAGUCGAACUAACAAAUGAAACUCUGUGUUAUUUACUAAACAAAUAAUCAAUACAAGGGUUUAGAUGUGUACCUUUGAGGUCUGACAAUACCUCUUUCUUUGAAAGAACUUACAGCCUCUUCUCACUUAUGUAUCUCAAUCGCCUAUGCCACAACUCCAUGUUGGUUUUUCUUUAUAGCAUUCAGCUACUCACUACAAACUUUGGCUUGGAACCUUUAUAAGAUGCGACAUUUCUUUCCACUAGCUAUAACAAGAGAACCCUUACUGAGCUUCCAUUGCCCUAUGAAAUCUACUAUCAUAGUCUUCAUCAUCUAGUCUUCCAACUGAAAUUAAAUUCAGCCUCAAGUGAAUCAUAUGUCUCACAUCCUUAAGCACCAACUUGUAGCCAAGGAUGGUCUUUAUGUGGAUAUCACCCAUGCCAAUGAUGUCUGCCAUGCCAUGGUUGCCCAUCUUGACAACACCAAAAUUUUCAAACCUAUGGGUAGCAAAAAACUCUCUCUGUGGUGUAGUAUGAUAAGAAGCACUUGUGUCAAUCACUCACUCAAGAUCCUGAUAUGCACAAGAGAAAAUAUCAUCAGAAAGAGACAAAAUCAAAUAAUCAUCACCUUGUACUAUAGUUGUGGUAUUAUCUCUUAACUUUAUAGACUCUACUUAUUUUUCUUUUUUCUUGCUCUUCUUAGGUUUGUUGCAUUGGUUUUUAUAACAUUCUUUUUUACCAUAAUUAUAGCAAACAAUAUAUUUUUUUUUAUCUUGACUUUCUUCUACUAAUGUUCUUUCUCAUUACAAUUAUAGCAAAUAAUAUCUUUUCUUGAUCUUGACUUUCUUCUACCCAUCUGUGAACUAUUUCUAUCCUUGGACUUUGACCAUCCUUUGUUCUUUGAGAUAAAUGCUUGUGAAUCAUUCUGAGAUGUUGUUGAAUUCUUUCUUCUCAACUCCUUAUCCAACAAACUAUUUGUUACUUGACUCAUGAUGACAACAACAUCUGACACAUAAUUACUAAGGGAAACUACUAAUGUCUCCCAACUCUUUGACAAUGAAUUGAGAAGUAACAAUGCCUACAACUCAUCAUCAAGAGACAUUUUCAUAGAGGAUAUUGUUUAGUAAUACUUUACAUUUCAUUCAAAUGCUCAUUAAUAGAAGCACCUUCUUUAUAUUUUAGGUCCAUAAGUUUUCUAAUUAAGAAAGUUUUAUUGUCAAUUGUUUUCUUUCAUAGAAACUUUCUAACUUUUUCCAAAAUGAAUAUGUAGAACUUUUAAUAGAAACAUAGUGAAAGGCACUAUUAUCGAGUCAUUAUCGAGUAAACCUGAUCAUUUUUCAAUCUAACCUCGUUCACUCAUCAUAUGUCAUAGUUGCGGGCUUUGCACUAUCCCCCUACAAAGGUCUAUACAAAUCUUUGUAAUAAAAGAGAUCUUUUAUUCUUGAUUUUCACGUAAUCCAAUUGUUUUUAUUGAAGCUAAUAAUGCGAGAAAUACUAUUGACAUCUAUGUUCGAACACAAAAAAUUAAAUCAUUAAAAGUCUACUCUGAUACCAGUUGAUGGGAUAAAAAGAUAUAACAAACUUUAUAUACGAACAAAUACAAGCAGGUUGUAACACGUAAUGAAAUUAAAUGUAAUCACAAUAAAAUAUGAUACCAAGAUUUAUAUGAAAAAUCCCUUCAACGUGAAUGGUAAAAGCUAUGGGGCAAACCAGAAAAAAUCCACUAUAAGAAUAAUAAAUAUACAAAUCUCAAAGUCUCUUGCUCAAAACUCAAGCAACAAUCAUAAGAAACUAAUUGAGAUACAAGGAUUAUGUCAAUGUGUAUAAUAUCCAAAAAAAUUUCAAAUAAUCAUAGUAAGAAUCUAUUAUAGAUCUGAUCUAAUUUGAUAUGAGAAUACUACAUAGAUGAUUGAGAACAGUAUAUCUACGUUGUUCUUACCUUCUUGCUUUUCUUUCUCUUAUUUUUCUUUCUUUUUUUUCUUUUUUUUCGAUCACGUUAAUGUUAUACUUGCUACGGUUCUCUUUCUCUUUUCGUAUCUUCUUAUUAGAUUUAGAUUUAAGUUUAAAAAAAAAAGAUAAAUUAUAAAUUGUUAAGCCCGCUAUGAAUUGUUAGCCCACUUUAGCCCAACAGAUAUGAGUCGCCAGAUUCAUCUAAGCCAUACGUAUGUCACCACACGCAGAUUUCCGAGGUGAUUCCCUUCGGCGACUCUUUCGGACACGCGACCAGGCGGUCAGCGUGCGCCCGGAAUCAACCAGGCCAGCUGGGUUGACGCGUGGCAACGGGAUCGGACACGUUGAUGGGCUGCUCGGCCGCCGCCACGACAGCGUCCCCGCGUUAAAGGCCAGCCCGACGCGACGCAGAUGGCGAACCCAAUCGAACUCAAAUCCGGUACGUGGAAUCCGGACACGGUCAGACCGGGAGGGCGGACGCGUCGACACCAAGAGGCCACGCAUCCCAUGUCACCGGAAAAACCCCUAACUGACACAAUUUUCCGAGAUGAAAAGCGUGGGUCCGAGGUAAUUGGAGGCAAAUGAAAGGGCUAAAUUUGGGAAAAGGAGUUGCUUUCAGGAACACAUCCGGUACGCGUUACCUCGCCACGCCACCCCACCCAUUUUCUUCUUUCCUGCGUCAUCACCUACAUAUCUUUCCCCUCUAUAAAAGUAAAACCCCCAGGAGUCGAUCCCGAUCAUCUAUUCCCCGAAUUCCGGUUCCUUUAGCAGGGCCUCCCAAUUCCCAGUUAUUACAACCUACCGACCGAGGUCCAGAAGAAGACGAGGAGAUAAGAAGCGAUGGCUCAGCGAGAGGAGAAGGAGAUGGAGCUGCAUGCCCACGAAAGCCUCGCCCUCUGCAUCAACAACUGCGGGUUCCCUGGCGACCCCGCCACUAACAACAUGUGCCAGACAUGCUUCCAGGCCUCCCCCGCCGCUGCGUCCUCCUCCCUUCCCCGGUCCUGCUCCCGCAGAUCCGCCCCUUCGAUCCGGUCGCCGGACCCAGCUGAUCGAGCGGAAGAGCAAGGGGCCCCCACGGCGGCUUUGGCUUCGCCGGCGCCGGCGCCGGCGAGGAAGGUUAACCGCUGCUUGUCUUGCCG